UCCUACGGGACGCAGCAGUGAGGAAUAUUGGUCAAUGGGCUUACGCCUGAACCAGCCAAGUCGCGUGAGGGAAGACUGCCCUAUGGGUUGUAAACCUCUUUUGUCGGGGAGCAAAAGACGCCACGCGUGGCGUUCCGAGAGUACCCGAAGAAAAAGCAUCGGCUAACUCCGUGCCAGCAGCCGCGGUAAUACGGAGGAUGCGAGCGUUAUCCGGAUUUAUUGGGUUUAAAGGGUGCGCAGGCGGAAGAUCAAGUCAGCGGUAAAAUUGAGAGGCUCAACCUCUUCGAGCCGUUGAAACUGGUUUU
rnacentral:rRNA from 1 species